AUGCUCACCGCCAUGCAGCACAUGGACUCCUCCGCCUACGCAUCCUCGCCCUCGGCGUCGCCGUGGCAGCAGCUCCUCACGGCCCAACGCGGCCACCUGUUGCCCUACGACUACGAGGGUCUCACGUCCGUCCCCGCCGCGGCGCACGCGCCGGCGGCGCACCAGCAGCACAGACCCGCGCGCCGCGUCGCCAGGCGGCGGCCGCGCCCGUCGCGGCGGCUGCCCACGACCUACAUCAGCGCCGACCCCGCGGAGUUCCGCCGCAUGGUGCACCAGGUCACGGGCGCCGACGAACUCCUCCUCCCGCCGGUCCAGCAGCAGGCGGAGGGGCCCCUCCUCCCCAAGCUCGCCGCCCGCGCAGCGCCUUCGUCGGCCGGCGGGGCACUGCUGCUGCCGACGCUGGACACGUCGUCGUUCCUGCUCGGCGGGUGCAGGGCGAGGCCGUCCACCGCGCGGACGGGUGCGAUGCCAGCGCCGACGACUCCCGACGGGUCGCUCCCGCUGGACAGCACUAGCGGCGGCAGCAGUAGCUGUGGUUUCCCGACCUUAGAGUCGUGGGAUCUUCUCUGA
rnacentral:rRNA from 1 species